rnacentral:rRNA from 1 species
AUUGAACGCUGGCGGCAGGCCUAACACAUGCAAGUCGAGCGGAUGAAGGGAGCUUGCUCCUGGAUUCAGCGGCGGACGGGUGAGUAAUGCCUAGGAAUCUGCCUGGUAGUGGGGGAUAACGUCCGGAAACGGGCGCUAAUACCGCAUACGUCCUGAGGGAGAAAGUGGGGGAUCUUCGGACCUCACGCUAUCAGAUGAGCCUAGGUCGGAUUAGCUAGUUGGUGGGGUAAAGGCCUACCAAGGCGACGAUCCGUAACUGGUCUGAGAGGAUGAUCAGUCACACUGGAACUGAGACACGGUCCAGACUCCUACGGGAGGCAGCAGUGGGGAAUAUUGGACAAUGGGCGAAAGCCUGAUCCAGCCAUGCCGCGUGUGUGAAGAAGGUCUUCGGAUUGUAAAGCACUUUAAGUUGGGGGGAAGGGCAGUAAGUUAAUACCUUGCUGUCUUGACGUUACCAACAGAAUAAGCACCGGCUAACUUCGUG